CAACCUCAACUCAUAUGGGACUACCCCCUGAAUUUAAGCAUAUUAAUUAGGGGAGGAAAAGAAACUAACAAGGAUUUUCUUAGUAGCGGCGAGCGAAAAGAAAUCAGUUCAGCACUAAGUCACUUUGUCUAUAUGGCAAAUGUGAGAUGCAGUGUACGGAACAUCAACAUUCUAGUAUGAGAAGUUAACGAUUUAAGUCCUUCUUAAAUGAGGCCAUUUACCCAUAGAGGGUGCCAGGCCCGUAUAACGUUAAUGAUUACUAGAUGGUGUUUCCAAAGAGUCGUGUUGCUUGAUAGUGCAGCACUAAGUGGGUGGUAAACUCCAUCUAAAACUAAAUAUAACCAUGAGACCGAUAGUAAACAAGUACCGUGAGGGAAAGUUGAAAAGAACUCUGAAUAGAGAGUUAAAUAGUACGUGAAACUGCUUAAAGAGCCUUCCCGAUCAACCUGAAUAUCCGUUACGGAUACAAAAAAAAAAAACAAAAAAAUUUCCAAAUCAUAUUAAAAGAUCACAGGAGUUAUGAUUUUCAAUUAGAGAUUAUUAUGUGGAAAUUGGGAUAGCUUGGCCACAUUAUCAUUUGGGCCAUGUUUUUGUUAGAAAGAAACUUUUAUUUUUUCGCGGAAAGUUAACCCAUGUUCAGUCAAACCGAACAAAAAUGAAUUGGUAUGGGUAUUUUGACUUUUAUAGGGUUCCGGGAAGCCCCAAUCC
rnacentral:ncRNA from 1 species